AGGUAAUUUCUCUCUCUCUCUUUUUUUUUUUUUUUUUUUUUUUUUUUUUUUUUUUACCCAACUGACACAGUUGAAAACAGCAAGCUUUUAGACUCAAAAAGCUUAGACCAUCAUGGCUACAAACACUACUGCUACUCAGAAAAUAUGUAAUUCUGGAGAUCCUUAGUAAAAAAGUAGUGCAAGGCAACAUAGCAGUUGCCAAGUGAUCUUCUCCACAGCACCCAUGAACUUCAGCCUUGAACUGAAGAGGACUCAUCAAAUGCCUUAGGAGAGACAGCAUGGAAUUGGAAGAGAAGUAGGGGUCUCCAUGGAGGGCAGUCAACUACAGUCUUGGUGUGUGGAGGAACACGUCCUGUUCUUGCUGUUGUUACUCCCACAUAGGCGGACUCUGUAAUUGAUUAUGUGUGGGUAGGGCCCUAUUGAAAUUAAGGAGAUUCUGCAGUAGUACAGGGUUCUUUUUGUGAAAGUUCAGUUGCA
rnacentral:lncRNA from 1 species